rnacentral:rRNA from 1 species
UACGGGGGGGCAAGCGUUGUUCGGAAUUACUGGGCGUAAAGCGCACGUAGGCGGAUGUGUCAGUCAGGGGUGAAAUCCCGGAGCUCAACUUCGGAACUGCCUUUGAUACAGCACGUCUUGAGUCCGAUAGAGGUGGGUGGAAUUCCUAGUGUAGAGGUGAAAUUCGUAGAUAUUAGGAAGAACACCGGUGGCGAAGGCGGCGACCUGGUCCUUGACUGACGCUGAGGCGCGAAAGCGUGGGGAGCAAACAGG